AGGGGCAGAUGGGCCGUGGGAGAAGGGUGCAGGAGAUGAGGAAGGCAGAGGCUGGGGGAGGAAGCGCCUGCCAAGGAGAGAAUUCCCUGCAGCAGGCAGUAAUGCAAAGAGGUCUGGAAGGAUCUGGAGGCUCCUGACUGAAGGGGACACAGAAAGCAGUGGACUGUGUAGUGGCUCUUCGGUGUCCUAGGUCUGCACGAUGCUUACGUGGCACAUCAGAGUCAGCAUCAUGCCUACCUUGCAUAAGGAUCAGCCCUGAAGGUUCUGGAAUGGGAAAGAAGAGAAAGAUUCUGGGCUUUUCUAAAUCUCCCUAAUGAAGUUGUUUCUUGACUUCAGUUGCUACCUGCUCCGAAAUUUCAGGGGGAUUUCAGGCGAGACUAGACCACCAAGAGCACCUGAGGUUGAUGCACUAGAGGGAGAGAGCAUAGUUUGUUCAUGUUAUACCAUUUCAGAAGAUCUGUGGGACCCGCGGAUCUGAGAUCAGGAGGAGAAACUCAACGUGCAGUGACUGAGCUGAGUAAGGGAAAGACACCCAGGGAUCACACUGUGUGUGAAGAAGGCCAUAAAGGAAGCCACAGGUGAACAGACUUCCUUUGUCAUGAAAUCUGCCAAGAUCUUCUAUGCUAUAACAGGUCUAAAGCUAUAGUACCAAGUGACCAGCGACUGAAAUUGUGAAGUUGUGAGCCAAAACAAACCUUUCUUCCCUGUUCGAGAGGAAAUAAAAGUGGAUAAAAUAAAAUCAACAGAACUUUUCCAAAAUGCCUGGGGAAAGACAGUGCUUCUAUAAAUGUAUUCAGUUGGAGCUACUGGGAAUAUAACAGAACACACCACUAAACAAAUUGCUAACAGUGACUUAAAAGAUGGCACGAUUUUCAGGCAAGCUUAUGACGGGCGAUUGGUCUUACACACAUGCUGAAGCUACACGAUGCCUCCUUUACUGCUAAUAACAGAGUAAUUUCAACUCUUGUGUAGCUUGAUCUCUUCUUCUACUUUUUACUCAGCACUUGAAACUGAUAAAGGAAAUUGUUUUCUAAAUUGGUUGUUCUCAGGAAAGAAGUAAUUUUGAGAAUACAUUUUAAAAUACUGCAAUGAAGCUUAAAAUGAAUGCUUUAUCUUUCCUAAAAGGAAACAGAUUCAAAACAGUUCAUAAUGAAGGUUGAGGCCAGGGAGACAGCUCAGGGGCACAGUGUCUGCCUGCUAGGUGUGAGAUCAUGAGUUCAAUUCCUGGUACCAAAAAGGAAAUAACAACAACAAAAAUUAAUUCCGUGUUAUUCCUCUCUAACUAUUCAGUUUCAACUUGUAAAGAAGGUUGAAUGACUUUUAAAAAGCCUAAAUUUUCCUCCACAUAAGAUAUUUUAUUGUGCUAAAAUGCACAUGACAUAAAAUUGACCGGUUUAGUAGGUUUAAAUACAGUCAAUACAUUCAUGUUGUUGUGUGGUCUCCUCCACUACCUGUUUCCAGAACAUUCUCAUCGUCAGCUGAACUGCUGUCUGCGAAGCACUAAACCCCUAGCUCUUGUGUCCCACUUCAGUCCUGGAAAUCACCAUUCUGCUUUCUGUUCCUGUGAAUUUGACUAUAUAGGUCUCUCAAAUAAGUGAAAUAAUACAGCAUUUGCCCUUGUAUAAUUGCUUUGUUUUUCACUUACCAUAAUGUCGUCCAGUUUUGUCUAUGUGGAGUAGACUAUUACAUCAAUAUACCACAUUUUAAAAAUCCAUUUAUUCAUUGAUUGACACUUGGAUUGAUUCUUUUGAUUAGUGCAAAUAAUGCUGCUAUGAACCCAGGUGUGUGUAUAUUUGUCUGACUCUGAUUUCUUCUUUUUGUACAUUAGUUGAAAUAUAUGGUAACUCUGUGUUUAAUUCUUAUGAGGAAUUGUCAUACCAUUUUCCAUAUAGGCUGCAACAUUUUAUAUUCCCAUAGACAGUGCAACAAAUGUUUCAUUUUUUCACAUGCUUACUAGCCCUUGUAAUUUUUGUUUGUUUAGUGCAUUUACUUAUGAUGGCCCUUCCACUGUGUGUGAAAAGACAAUCUCCUUUCCUUCUAAGGGUUUUAUAGUUUUAAAGUCUUUGGUGCAUUUUGACCUAAUUUAUGUACAGGGUUGUAAUGCAGUGAUUUGCCUUUAUAUUUGCUUGUGAGUAUCUUGUUUUCUCAGUGCCAUUUGUUGAAAAAUUCCUCAUCUCAAUAAAUGAUCUGGCAGUCCUAUACAAAGCCAUUUGCUGCAAGGGUAUAGCUCUAGGCUAUUCUACACCCUUUGUCUGUACCAUAUCUGUUUCUAUCUGUUUCUAUGCCAGUAGUAUCUUAUUUUGAUUACUGUAGAAUGUAGUAAGUUUGGAAUCAGGAAGUGUGAAGCUUCACAGUUCAUGUGUUGUAGGAUUAUUUAGGUUAUUCUGAGUAUCUUGAAAUUCCAUAUGAAUUCAAAGUCUAUUCCUGAGUAUCAUUCUUUUUGGUGUUGUAAAUGGAAUUGGUUUUUUAAUUUUCUUUUGAGAUUGUGCAUUGAAAGGGUAUAUAACUUUUAAAAUUUGUAUCCUGCAACUUUUAUGAAUUCAUUAUUAGUUCUAAAAAGUGUAUGUGCGUGUGUUUGGUGUGAAUUUGUGUAAAAUCUUUAGGGUUUUCAAACGGCAUUGAGAGCGGGACUGGCAGGGAGCUCUGCAUCGACCUGCGGUGAGUGAGAGAAAUGGGGACCCUUUCAUAGACUAGGAGGCUCCAACAGAGGACAUUCUGGGAAUGAGCAGGCUACCUGGAACAGGGCUCUGCAGUGACUUUAGUCACAUAUUCCCCUCUCACGUGGUGGGGAGUGCUUGGCCUGGUGAUGCCACGGGCUAAGAUCCAGUAGGCUAGCCCAAAUCAGGUCCCUGCACCUGACCGUGAACCCUAGCAGUAGGUUGACCUGGAGGGGUGGGCCCAGCAGAGGCUGGCUGCUCAGGUCUGUGUCUCCCUAGUACACUGCAGUGGGUGGGAACAUCUAGCCAGCAGAUUCAAACAAACUGUAACAGACAAAGAGAGAGAGAGAGAAAAAAAACUGGGCCUCCUACAUACGCUUGCAUGGAAGGAACAAAAAUAUGGGAAAAGGGAACAACAAGAAAGGGUCCUCAGUCCCCAAUCCUGAGAACACUGAUGCAGGAAAGGUAAAUGCAAAGGAGAAUGAAGACAGAAAACAUGCAAUAUCAAACACGGCACCUAUAGACAUAAAGUGGUAUCUCCGGAGCCUCAUAGACGAGUUCAAAAAUGAAGUAUUUAAUGAAAUAAAGCAAGAAAUAAGUAGAAUAGUUAGAGAAAUGCUAAACACCACCCAAGAAAAAACAGAUGGUGGAAUGGAAGAACAGAAAAAAAGGGGAGAAUUGUUUGAUGGAGAAAGUAGAGAAAACAUAGAAUACGUGAAGCAGGUUCAAAGAGAUUACCAGGAAACUAAAAACUCUGUUGAAAGCUGGCAUAACAGCUUGAAAGAAACUAAGGAUAGAUUAUCAGAACUGGAGGUCAGAUUUUUAAUGUGGGAGCAUGAAAUGAAAAACUUCUUAAAAAUAACAAGAAAACAAACACCAAUAAUACAAAGACUAGAAGAUGAUAAGAGGAUUUAUAACUUAAGAAUUAAGAACAUAAAAGAAGAAGUAGGGACACAAACAAAUGAACUACAAAAGCUAUUCACAGAAAUAAUCCAGGAGAAUUUUCCUAAUUUAGCAAAAGGUAAAGAUACUCAGAUGUAUGAGGCAUACAGGACCCCAGCCACCUACAACCCAAACAGAGCUACACCCAGGCAUAUAAUAAUCAAAAUUCCAGAAAUCCAAUAUAAGAACAGAAUAUUAAAAGCCUUCAAAGAGAAGAAACAGAUCACUUACAAAGGAACACCCAUCAGAAUUACAGCAGACUUCUCGGCCCAAACCAUCAAAUCAUGAAGAGCGUGGGGAGAAAUAAUUCAAGCUUUGAAAGAUAGUAACCUCCAGCCAAGAUUGAUAUAUCCUGCACAACUGUCCCUAGAAAUUGAUGGAAAAACAAGGUGCUUCCAGCAUAAAGAGGAACUAGGGGAAUUUGCAACCACCAGUUCAACUCUACAGAGAUUACUACUGCAGGAUAUUCUAAAAAUGAAAAAUACCAAGAUUCUAGAAACAGUGGCAGAGAGGCCACAAUGAAUGGAGCAGAAAGCAAAAUGAAGAGGACAAACUGACAACUAAUGACAGAAAAAGAGCUCAACAGAAAUGAGGCAGAGAAGGUUGGAUAGUAGGAACAGCCAUUUUGGAGAAAACAAGACAUCAUAAUAGCUAGUGCUGAUUUAAUAUCAUCUUGUUUUGAAGUCCCAUGAAGCUUUUGUUCUUCUGUCUCCAUCGGUCUUAAAAAGUUGUAUCUUAUUGGAUUUUAUUAUAUGUUGUAAUAUAAACAAAAACUUUUAUAGACAAGGAGAUUAUACAGAAACCAUUGUUCAUUUUCUGUUAGUUGAUUCUAAAUACUCUGUAAUACUGUCAUUCUCUUGAAUGGUUUUACAUUGUUUUGAUAUGUUUGAUGCAACAAUAUACGAAGUUAUACCCAAAGAUUUUAAGGGAAGAGACACUAUGGUAACUACUAUUAUGUCAAGAUUAUCUUGUGGUGAAACACUAUUUUGCUUAAAUGGCUAUGUUUUGACCUGCACUGUUUUGUUGUUAUGCCCUCUUUUUUUAUCUCAAUCUCCUUUUUAUUAUCUACUUUUUCAUUUUUAUCCUUUUAAUUAAGGGAAAAAUAAAAAAUAGAAGGAUA